rnacentral:lncRNA from 1 species
GAGUUCCACCUCCAGCCUGUGAGAUGCCUGCAGGGAGCCGUCCUGAGUCCUCCGAAUUGACACAGUGUCUUUGGGGUAGGAAUUUCCCAGUGAAUGCUUACUUAAAUGAAUUCAAAAAGAGAAAACAUUUCCAUGGAAGAGGAAACAGGAAAUUCCAACAGAUCAGCAACAGUUGGAGUGCUAACCUGUCACUGGAAUGAAAAAAAAUGCUGUCGUUGACACAUCUUUUCCUUGUUUUUGACACAAAUUAGAAACACCACCUGGAACACAGCUGUGACUUGAUAAACAAGUGAAAUAUUCUUUGGUGUGGUGAGGGGAAAACAAAUUUCUCAAAGGACACACACCAUGGUGUAUGAGAGGACACUGGAGCCCAGCCAGCAUCUGACAUGCUGAAUUCAAAGUGCAGAUGAAAGUAGGACAACUGAUUCACAAGCU